GGUCAAUGAUGAGCUGUAAAAGGUCUGAUUGCCCAAGUCUCCACUCUAGCCACCCUUUGUUCUCCCAGCAUUCCCUGCUCUUUACCCAGCAUGCUCUAGUGUUGCAUGUUGGGCUCCAGGGUCUGCUGACAGUCCUGACACCUCUUUAAUCUGCUGUGGCUGCAGGAGACUCAGCAGUCACACACGCAUGAGGCAUCACACACCAGACACCCCACAAGGAGUAUCAGGGCCGGCUGUGGAGAUAGGCAGAUGAUCUCAAGUUUUCAAGCUGAGACC